rnacentral:tRNA from 1 species
AGGGUAGUAGCUCAGUGGUAGAGCACAUGCUUAUCCUGCACGAGGUCCUGGGUUCAAUCCCCACUACCUCC